CCAGCCCUUGACAUGGUCACGACUGGUUCAGAGAUGGACCUUCCCCGCAAGGGGCGUGAUGCACAGGUGCUGCAUGGCUGUCGUCAGCUCGUGUCGUGAGAUGUUGGGUUAAGUCCCGCAACGAGCGCAACCCUCGCCUUUAGUUGCCAGCAUGUUUGGGUGGGCACUCUAGAGGAACUGCCGGUGACAAGCCGGAGGAAGGUGGGGAUGACGUCAAGUCCUCAUGGCCCUUAUGGGCUGGGCUACACACGUGCUACAAUGGCGGUGACAAUGGGAAGCCAGGUAGCGAUACCGAGCCGAUCCCAAAAAGCUGUCUCAGUUCAGAUCGCAUUCUGCAACUCGGAUGCGUGAAGGUGGAAUCGCUAGUAAUCGCGGAUCAGCACGCCGCGGUGAAUACGUUCCCGGGCCUUGUACACACCGCNNNGUCACACCAUGGGAGUUGGUUCUACCUUAAGCAGGUGCGCUAACCGCAAGGAAGCAGCUUGCCACGGUAGGGUCAGUGACUGGGGUGAAGUCGUAACAAGGUAGC
rnacentral:rRNA from 1 species